AUUUGGUCCUGUCAUUAAUUGUCGAGGAUUGUCCUGUUAUUGACAACGUUAACCAGGUCACAUUUCAGCAAGCUUUUUAUACCUUUUUCUUAUAUUUAUGUAUGAAAUGGUAAUUUAAAAUUUCAGAGAAAUAUUCUGCGAAAAAAAAAAGAAUAAUUAGCAAUUUCAUUUGGUCCGGUCAUUGUCGAGGUUGGUCAUGUCAGUCAGCGAUGGUCAUGUCACGUUUUUGAAAGUUUUUGAAAAUAAAUCUAUAUUUUUUAUAACAUAAAGGUUUCAAAAUGUGACAUAUCAUUUUAUGUUUCAAAUCUGAGAUAAUUCUUUUGAAAAAUAAAAAAGUUAUUAGCAUUUUAUAUUUGUCCUGUCAUUGUCGAUGUUGGUCAUGUCAUUAUCAGAGUUGGUCAUGUCACGUUUUCUAAAGUUUCUUACAACUUUUUUUAAUUUUUUUUCUUAAAUCUAUGUAUAAAAUGAUGAAAUCUUAUUAUAUUUCAAAUUUCAGAAAAAUAUUUUGAGAAAUAAAAGAGAAAUUAGCAAUUUCAUCUGGUCCGGUCAUUGUCGAGAUUGGUCCUGGCAGUCAGCGAUGGUCACGCACGUUUUCGAAAGUUUUUGAAAAUAAAUUUAUAUUUUUUAUAACAUUUUAGUUUCAAAAUAUGACAUACCAUUUUAUAUUUCAAAUCUGAGAUAAUUCCUUUGAAAAAUAAAAAAAGUUAUUAGCAUUUUUAUUUGGUCCUGUCAUUCUCGAUGUUGGUCCUGUCAUUAUCAGAGUUGGUCAUGUCACGUUUUCUAAAGUUUCUUACAAUUUUUUUUAUUUUUUUUCUUAAAUCUAUUUAUCAAAUAAUGAAAUCUUAUUAUAUUUCAAAUUUGAGUUCAAUCCUUUGAGAAAUGAAAAAGUUAUUAGCAUUUUUCAUUUGGUCCUGUCAUUCGGUCCUGUCAUUCGGUCCAGUCAUUAGUGUAACCC
rnacentral:lncRNA from 1 species